UACGUAGGGGGCAAGCGUUAUCCGGAUUUACUGGGUGUAAAGGGAGCGUAGACGGCAAGGCAAGUCUGAUGUGAAAACCCAGGGCUUAACCCUUGGACUGCAUUGGAAACUGUCUGGCUCGAGUGCCGGAGAGGUAAGCGGAAUUCCUAGUGUAGCGGUGAAAUGCGUAGAUAUUAGGAAGAACACCAGUGGCGAAGGCGGCUUACUGGACGGUAACUGACGUUGAGGCUCGAAAGCGUGGGGAGCAAACAGG
rnacentral:rRNA from 1 species